CUGCAAUUCACUUUUAGUCUGUUAGAAACAGAUCAUUUACCACAUAACCUGACCAUGCAUUCCUGUAAGCAGCAGCAACAGCAAGCAACCCAAAUAAAAGAAGCAAAUUACUUAAAAUGCAAAAACAAGAAACCUACAGAUGUGUUCCAGGGAUAUGAAAUUUAGGAGGGAGUCAGUUUACCUUCCGGAUGGCAUCAUCGAUUGAUUACCUUGGAGAUAAAAGCACACUUUGCUUUGAUCUAUUUAUAGAGUUUUUUUCUGUGUUUGUUUUGAUGUAUAAAAUGAAAAAAAAUGUAAUUUGGUAUGAAAGAAGGAUUGAUGAUAGACGAGACAUUAAAUGCCAUUUCAUAGA